rnacentral:rRNA from 1 species
GAUGAACGCUAGCGGCAGGCCUAAUACAUGCAAGUCGAACGGUAGAUCGGGUAGCAAUACUUGAUUGAGAGUGACGUAAGGGUGCGUAACACGUAUGCAAUCUACCCUCAACAGGAGUAUAGCUCGGGGGAACUCGGAUUAACACUCCAUAACAUUACGAUGUGGCAUCACAUUGUGAUUAAAACUCCGGUGGUUGAGGAUGAGCAUGCGUCUGAUUAGUUAGUUGGAGGUGUAACGGACCCCCAAGACGAUGAUCAGUAGGAGAACUGAGAGGUUGAUCCCCCACACUGGCACUGAGAUACGGGCCAGACUCCUACGGGAGGCAGCAGUAGGGAAUAUUGGUCAAUGGGUGAGAGCCUGAACCAGCCAUGCCGCGUGCAGGAAGACGGCCUUCUGGGUUGUAAACUGCUUUUAUCUGGGGAUAAAAAGCCCAUGCGUGGGACAUUGAAGGUACCAGAUGAAUAAGCACCGGCUAACUACG